rnacentral:rRNA from 1 species
UACGAAGGGGGCUAGCGUUGUUCGGAAUCACUGGGCGUAAAGGGCGCGUAGGCGGCCGAUCAAGUCGGGGGUGAAAGCCUGUGGCUCAACCACAGAAUUGCCUUCGAUACUGUUUGGCUUGAGACCGGAAGAGGUUAGUGGAACUGCGAGUGUAGAGGUGAAAUUCGUAGAUAUUCGCAAGAACACCAAUGGCGAAGGCAGCUCGCUGGGACGGUACUGACGCUGAGACGCGAAAGCGUGGGGAGCAAACAGG